rnacentral:rRNA from 1 species
CACCGCGGUUAUACGAGUGACUCACAUUAACACACCACGGCGUAAAGAGUGAUUAAAGAAUGACCUCAAACUUACUAAAGUUCAGACCUCAUAAAGCCGUUAUACGCAUCCAUGAGUAGAAUAAACAACAACGAAAGUGACUUUAUAAAUAUAAGAAACCUUGAUGUCACGACAGUUGGGACC